rnacentral:rRNA from 1 species
CAAACUGGAGAUGGCGACCGGCGCACGGGUGAGUAACACGUAUCCAACCUGCCGAUAACUCGGGGAUAGCCUUUCGAAAGAAAGAUUAAUACCCGAUGGUAUAAUUAGACCGCAUGGUCUUGUUAUUAAAGAAUUUCGGUUAUCGAUGGGGAUGCGUUCCAUUAGGCAGUUGGUGAGGUAACGGCUCACCAAACCUUCGAUGGGUAGGGGUUCUGAGAGGAAGGUCCCCCACAUUGGAACUGAGACACGGUCCAA